rnacentral:rRNA from 1 species
AUUGAACGCUGGCGGCAGGCCUAACACAUGCAAGUCGAGCGAGCGGCGGACGGGUGAGUAAUGUAUGGGGACUGCCCGUUAGAGGGGGAUAACUACUGGAAACGGUGGCUAAUACCGCAUACAGUCCGAUAACCCAUGUGGGAUUAGCUAGUAGGUAAGGUAAUGGCUUACCUAGGCGACGGUCCCUAGCUGGUCUGAGGGGAUGAUCAGCCACAGUGAGACUGAGACACGGCCCAGACUCCUACGGAGGCAGCAGGGGAGAAUAUUGCACAGUGGGCGCAAGCCUGAUGCAGCCGUGCCGCGUGUGUGAAGAGGGCCCGAGGGUUGUAAAGUACUUUCAGUCGGGAGGCGUUACCGACAGAAGAAGCACCGGCUAACUCCGUGCCAGCCGCCGCGAUAUU